AAGAUUUGGACUCUGUAACAGUCCUUGUAUACUUGGACUUGUAAUGAGAAGAACAAUGGAAGUUGUUUUAAGAGCCACAAAGUAGGUAAAAGGCCUUAUUGGGAGCAAGGGGUGGAAAGUUCUCCUAGAUUAGGAGAUGGACUGGAAGCUUUGCUUUUGCCACCUCUGUGUGCUUCUUGCCUUUUUACUUUCUUCUCCUGAAUAUCAACACUAGUGUAUUACUUGAUACCCCAUUUCCACAUACCUGUUUCUAAAAGGUCUGCCUUUCUCUUUUACAUCAGAAAGUCAGGGUGUAGCAAAGUUUUAGCCUCCUUUGUCUAGUCACAAUAUGACUACUUUUACAAUGGCCUUUUCCUCUAAAAAUCAAGUGCUAAAUAGACUUUUCAACUUUGCAUCAGUAUUUUGUACCAGUUAGUUGUUAAGUUAAUGAAGUAGUCCUACCAGCCUAAGCAGUACAUAAUAUCUGUUCCUUUUUACUUAAAAAUAGGUUUAGUGUAUUUUUCCUUUG
rnacentral:lncRNA from 1 species